AGGGAGAAGCCGGGGGUGGUCAGUGGCCUGUGGGUGGUCAAGUAGUCUUAGGGGUGGUAGAACAUAAGAGAUUGAUUCAUAGGGCUGGAAGGGACUUUGGAGGUCUUCUACUCCAACCGUCUGCUCAAGGCAGGAACUUUCUGCCAUCCCAGUCAAAUGGUUUGCUUGUUCAUUUUUGAAAACUUCCAGUGAUGGAGCACUCACAACUUCUUACUGUCUCAAAAUUUCUCCUGACUUCUUGGUUGGGUCUCCCUUUCAACGUCCACCCUUGUCUUUUUUCCUGCUCUGCAGUUCUUAAGUCACUCCCUGUCCUUUGAGACAGACCCUAACAGUGUGGAAGACUACUGUUGUGUCUGCCCGAUCCUUAUCAUCUUCGAUAAGUUACACAUAGCGAACUCCCUGAACCGUUCAUGAAACGAUUUAGCCUCCAGCUCUUAAAUCAUCUUUGUUGCUCUUCUCUUCAAACUUUCUGCAGUCUCAGCAACAUUUUCUAUCCCACCAGUGUGAUAUAAUGCGGUACCAGCACUUCUGGCGAUCUUGAAACUGCCCCUCUUUUAUUGCUGCCUAAGACUGCUUUGGCCUAUGUUGACAUCUGCAGCACACAUCUGGCUGAUCCUUAAGUGGUUUUCCUCCUGAUCCGUCUCACAAUUAUCCCUGCUGAGCCAGGUACCGCCCAUUCUGUGCCUGUGCAAUUGAUUUUCCUGCCUAAGGAAGAACUGUACUUUUCUCACCAAUGAACUGCAUCCUGUUCAGGUCUGUCAAGAUCCUCUUAGAUGUUGAGCCUAUCUUCCAACAAUCUUGAUGUCCUCUGCACAUUUGGUGAGUUCUCCUUCUAUCCCCUCAUCUAGAUCAUUGAUGAAGAUGUGGAAGAGAUCUAGGCCGAAGGCAGAUCCCUGAGGUACCCCACUGAAUGCUUCCCUUCUUGUAGAUGUAGCGGUAGCUCCAUUAAGGAAUAAACACUGGGUGCGGCUGGUCAGCCCCCUGAGGACCCAUCUGAAGGUGAUACUGGUGGAUGUCCAUUUCUAGGUGCUCGAAAUCCUCCACUUGAUUCUCUAUUCCAGGAUUUUCCCAGAAAUUGAUGUCAAGCUCUUUUUCCAGUUGUCUGAGAGCUCCCCUGGACUGCAGGAGCAUUCAGAAAUGACGUUUGGUGACACCAAAAUUAGGUCUGCCAGCUCCUUUGGAAGCCUGGGAGGGUCGGCGUGAUUUCUACCCAUCCAGAGUGGAUUGGUCCUCUUUGACUAAUUUCGUGCCUAUUUGGAAUCGUAUAUAGAUUCUAUCUCUCUCGAUGUUGCUGUUGAUAGGCUGUUUUUUUUUCUUUUGCUGAAAAAGAGAUGGAAAGGAGUUAAGCAUUUCUGAAUUCACCCUGCUGCCUGUCUCCUUCCUGCCUUCUGCUCCCAUCAGUGGACCUAUUGACUUUCUUGACUUUCUUCUUGUUCCUUACAUAAAAUUUUCCUUUAUUAUUUUUGGUCUUUGUUGCCAGUCUUUGCCCAUUCCAGGCCUUUGCUAUUCCGAGUCGGUCCUUGCAAAUUCAGUCUACUCGCUGGUAUUCUGCUUUACUUAUGUGCCCUUCUUUCCAUUUUUUUCUACCUGACCAUAUUGUACUUCUCAGAGGGCUCUUUGAGCAACCAUUCUGGUAUCUCAUGAUAUCUUUAAUUUUUCUGUGUCUUAUUGUUUUUGCUCGGUCCUUCAUCGUUUCAUUUUCCAGGGUUUUCUUUUAAUCAAAAUGGACAUAUAUAAUACGUUACAGGUGUAGAGUUUAGCUAUCUAUUAGGGCUUGUUAAGGCACUUGAGCUAUGUUUUAACCAAACAAGCUUUUUAAAAAGUGGAAACAUAUAAUAAAGGAGAGAAAUAUCGGCAUAUAUAGGGGGGUUUAGGAUUUUGUUUUCAUUUCAUACCUUAGAUAUUAUAUAUGCAGUAGACAUAUAUAAUGCAUUACAAAAAUAGUAUAGUUAUUGAAGAUUUGUUUUAGUCUUUUUUUUAAAGUGGACAUAUGCAUUGAAAAUACAGUGUAGGAAUAUAUUAGGGCAUUUUUAGUAUCUCAAGGUUUGUUCUAAAUAAAUGUAUUUCUCAAACUGUGAACAUAUAGGGUGCAGGAGAAAAGUGGGGUGUUGGGGCUUUUUGAGUUACUGGAGAUGUGUUGUAACAGAAUGUUUUUUUAACAUUGGGAUAUAUAAUGCAGGCGAGCAAUAGAGUACUUACAGCUGGAUGUUAGGUCGUCCUUCUCUUGCUCCCCCCUAGAGGCUCUGGAGCAGCAGGAGCUUCUGCCUGCCCCCGAGACCCUCUACCCAGCCCCGUCCCCCAGUUCCGCCACCCGCUCCCUCCGCCUUGCUGCCUCGGCGCUCUCUGCUCCCCCGAGGCCUCUCCUGGGGACCCCUCGGCCCCCGGCCCAGCUCCUGGCUCCUCUCCUCUCCUCUCCUCUCCUGCGGGCUGUGGGCUCCCGACUGCUCGGCCCAUGCGGCUGCUCGGUUCCGGUUCCCAGGUCCAGCGGUGGCCAGACUAGCCUGGCACACUAGGUAGCAAGUCCCCCACCCCCUCCCUCUCUGCCCCCGUCCCCCAUCCUCUCCUGGAUAUGUAGUGAAACCUGAUUGUGCGGCUGCCAUCCUGAUUUUGCUGACACCCCAGCACUUCCUGGGCGAGUCCCUGCUGCCAUUAAUGGUCAUUAAGCAAGUGCCGUUUUGCCCAUUGCUGUCACUUGCCGUAACUCCAAGCCGAUCGCCCUGCACCCAAGUCUUGAGCGUGCAACCCUGGAGAUGCUGCUACAGUCAUAUGUGCGAGGACCCGUGAUACAUCACACUUUUCAGUACCAUUGGAAGUGUAGGCACAGCGAGGAUCUCCCUCGUUUGGAUGUGUCAGAAGAAAGAGACAGUUCCCAUUAAGGCAGAAUUAGGGGGCAAGACUAGAAAUGUGGGGCUCAAUCCCGGAUCACAGUGGUGCUGAUACCUGCCGUGUUAGCAGCCUCCGUUCCUGUGGACAAACUGCCAAUCCACCAUCUCAAAGCUCAAGGCAGUGAACGUACCGAAGACUCCUUCGUCCCUACAACAACAAGCUUGUGAGACAGGUCAGCAACAGGGAGGAAACGGCCCAAAAGUGAAUAUCCCUGGGCUAUCUCUCAACGGCCAGUGAUGGUCUCCAUCUCCAGGUUAAGCAGCCGAGAGAUGCCUUUGACCUUCAGACCCAGGAAUUCAAGAGACAAACAAUGGAUGAAAAGCAGCACACUUGCCUCAAGAAGAUGGUCGAUCAACUAAAGAGCACAACAAAAAAGUGGCAGAAAACUGCUGGACAAAAGAGAAAGGUUGGAGCGUGCCACCACCAUGAUCCCUCAGCGAGGGCUAAAGAUCAAAUAUUUGGUGAAACACACUGAAGAACUGCACAAAGAACGCUGCAGGUCAGCAGCCAAGCGGCCGUUCUCAAAUAUGAGAAGGCUGCCUUAGAACCUUUGAGAAGCGGUCUCGAAGAAGUCUGGAACCUUCUUAAGAACUGAAGAAGCACCUCUAAAGUCUGCAGCAUGAACAGGUUGAGACGGACCAAAGUUACUACGUGGAGAAAAGCCACUCCAGCCAACUGAUGCAGAAAGUCAGUCCUCUUCAGCAGAAUGUGAGGGAAAAUAAGAAGAAGCAAGUCAACAAUCUACAGCAGCAACAGCAGCCGCCGCAGAGCUAUGCUUCCCAGGCCACAGUUGGAGACCUGUGGAAAGCUGAGGAGGACAACGGAGAAGGACUGAACCAUGUCAAAAUGACGAUGCAAGAAUUACAGCUGCAGACGACGUGUUUCGAGAAAGACAGUAAAGAUCUCCACAGGGAGGUCCCCAGCCAAGUGGCCUUCUUCAGAAAUGGUUUUGGCGCUCCUAAGCGACCAGCACAUGGGACAACUCGCUGACCCUCUCUCCCCAUACCUGGAAUGGAGGAACGGUGGCCUUUUACCCUUUCGAGAAAGAAAAGGAAUUCUUCCCCUCCCUUCCCCUCCCUUCCCCUGACUUGCCACUUCGUGUGCCGGGGAGCCAGGCGAGCCCCCCCCCCACCAGCUGACGCAACACCUUCACCCUCGCCCUCCCAAUCACUGCAGGGCUGUCAGCUGAGCUGAACACCUCACAGCCACCGAGCAUCAGGGCCUCAGAGGACUGGGGAAUCCCAGGGCUCCGAGCCAAAAAGGAGCCUGGAGGUGAAGUUGGUAGGGUGAGUCCACAGGCUCCUCUCCAAGCCUCAGAGUUCCAGCUGAGGAUGAGGGCCACCAGGGACAGGGUGAGGGCUCUGCGGUGGGCAGAGCAGAAAGUCUGGCCAGAACAGGAUCUGGAACCCAGAACCGAGUGGCUGAAUGAGCCGAGCAGCUGGCAUCCCAGCAGCCCACAGGAG